UAUAUAAUUCUGGGGUGCCGUAUGGCUGAGAUAAUACCCAUUGAACCUGAUCAGGUUAAGACCUGCGAAGGGAUCCGACUACACUAUAAGUG
rnacentral:ncRNA from 2 species